GGCAAGUCUGGUGCCCAGCAGCCGCGGUAAUUCCAGCUCCAAUAGCGUAUAUUAAAGUUGUUGCAGUUAAAAGCUCGUAGUUGGACCGGAGAUGGAGGAAGGAAGGGUCGCAAGACGCAGCUUUCCUCCAUGGAAUUGGAGGAAGGGUCUUGGAAACAAGAUCCGCGCCCUCAGGUUACUGUGAAGAAAUUAGAGUGUUUAAAGCAGGCUUACGCUUGAAUACAUCAGCAUGGAAUAACAAGAUAUGGAAGAUGGAAGAUCUUGUUGGUUUAAUCCAUUUUUAAUGUAUUAAUAGGA
rnacentral:rRNA from 1 species